UACGGAAGGUGCAAGCGUUGUUCGGAAUGACUGGGCGUAAAGCGCACGUAGGCGGGUUUGCAAGUCGGAUGUGAAAGCCCCGGGCUUAACCUGGGAAUGGCACCCGAAACUGCGAAUCUUGAAUGCUUGAGAGGUUGGUGGAAUUCCUGGUGUAGGAGUGAAAUCCGUAGAUAUCAGGAGGAACACCGGAGGCGAAGGCGGCCAACUGGCGAUGCAUUGACGCUGAGGUGCGAAAGCGUGGGGAGCAAACAGG
rnacentral:rRNA from 1 species